AAAUUUCUUCCCUCUGUUUACUCUUCUCUUCCAUCGGCACCGAGAGACUCUCCACCUUCACUAUCAAUCUAAACGGAGAGCGUUAUUGUGUCUGUUGUUCAUGGCCAUCAAUUCAAACACCCACUAUGAGACCUUCAAUGCAACGGUAUAGAGGGUGAGGCGGUCUUAGCUCUGUAUAAAUAUAUGUUAUAGGUGAAAUCAUCUCAGUGAAGAGUACGCGGUGAGUGAUAGUCCUGGAGGAAAGAGUCGUUUCAUGGCCUAAUUUUUGUUCACACCACUAGAAGAAAGAAUUGGAUCACAGUGAAACAUACUAAACGGCGCGGUCAGCAAUUUCCUUAUCCUCCUGGCUUACCCAGCAUUUGGGACUUGCACCAACUAGGCGAAUAACCACACCAAUCUUUAUGGAAACUCACGAAGAAGUAUGAUCCUGUAAUGUUACUACACUUGAAAGAGUUUCAGCUUAAGAGUUGCAGAAGAUCAAGGAUUUUCAGAUGAGCCAAAAUUUGCUAGCUUGAAGCUUUUCGUUGUUAUCCUGAAGCAUGUGUUGUAAUGAUUUAAAACAAUCUGGACUUUUGCAUAUUGUAUGUUGCUAUUUGUAACUGAAGUUUGUUCUUACGUGAGGGAAAACUGCAGAGCCACUAUGCAAAACGUUGUAAAUAGUGAGCCUAUUAGUAAAAAAAAGUGAAAGGUCAUACCCAUA